rnacentral:rRNA from 1 species
GACGAACGCUGGCGGCGUGCCUAACACAUGCAAGUCGAACGGAGUUGAUUCUUCGGAAUUAACUUAGUGGCGAACGGGUGAGUAACGCGUGAGAAACCUGCCUUUCAGUGGGGGACAACAGUUGGAAACGACUGCUAAUACCGCAUAAUGUCAUUUGGGGGCAUCCCCGAAUGACCAAAGAUUUAUUGCUGAAAGAUGGUCUCGCGUCUGAUUAGCUAGAUGGCGGGGUAACGGCCCACCAUGGCGACGAUCAGUAGCCGGUCUGAGAGGAUGAACGGCCACAUUGGGACCGAGAUACGGCCCAGACUCCUACGGGAGGCAGCAGUGGGGAAUAUUGGGCAAUGGGCGAAAGCCUGACCCAGCAACGCCGCGUGAAGGAAGAAGGCCUUCGGGUUGUAAACUUCUUUUACCAGGGACGAAUAAUGACGGUACCUGGAGAAAAAGCAACGGCUAACUACGUGCCAGCCGCCGCGGUAAAAC